ACGGGAGGCAGCAGUGGGGAAUAUUGGGCAAUGGGCGCAAGCCUGACCCAGCAAUGCCGCGUGAAGGAAGAAGGCUUUCGGGUUGUAAACUUCUUUUAAGUGGGACGAUAAUGACGGUACCACUUGAAUAAGCUCCGGCUAACUACGUGCCAGCAGCCGCGGUAAUACGUAGGGAGCAAGCGUUAUCCGGAUUUACUGGGUGUAAAGGGCGUGUAGGCGGUUUGGCAAGUCAGAAGUGAAGUUCCCGGGCUUAACUUGGGCGCUGCUUCUGAAACUGCUUAACUUGAGUACUGGAGAGGAUAGUGGAAUUCCUAGUGUAGCGGUAAAAUGCGCAGAUAUUAGGAGGAACACCGGUGGCGAAGGCGGCUAUCUGGACAGUAACUGACGCUGAGGCGCGAAAGCACGGGGAGCAAACAGGAUUAGAUACCCUGGUA
rnacentral:rRNA from 1 species